rnacentral:rRNA from 1 species
GACGGGUGAGUAACACGUAAGAGUUUGCCUCUAGGAGGGGGAUAACAACUGGAAACGGUUGCUAAUACCCCAUAUGCUUUCGAGUGAAAUGGAUUUCCGCCUAGAGAAAAGCUUGCGGCUGAUUAGCUUGUUGGUGAGGUAAUGGCUCACCAAGGCGACGAUCAGUAUCUGGUUUGAGAGGACGAUCAGACACACUGGAACUGAGACACGGUCCAGACUCCUACGGGAGGCAGCAGUGGGGAAUUUUCCGCAAUGGGCGAAAGCCUGACGGAGCAAUACCGCGUGAGGGAUGACGGCCUAUGGGUUGUAAACCUCUUUUUUCAGGGAGGAAUCAAUGACGUGUACCUGAAGAAUAAGCAUCGGCUAACUCCGUGCCAGCNGCCGCGGUAAGACGGAGGAUGCAAGUGUUAUCCGGAAUCACUGGGCGUAAAGCGUCUGUAGGUGGUUUAAUAAGUCAACUGUUAAAUCUUGAGGCUCAACCUCGAAAUCGCAGUCGAAACUAUUAGACUAGAGUAUAGUAGGGGGUAAAGGGAAUUUCCAGUGGAGCGGUGAAAUGCGUANANAUUGGAAAGANCACCNAUGGCGAAGGCNCUUUACUGGGCUAUUACUAACACUCAGAGACGAAAGCUAGGGUAGCAAAUGGGAUUAGAUACCCUGGGUAGUCCCCU